CCUACGGGAGGCAGCAGUGAGGAAUAUUGGUCAAUGGGCGAGAGCCUGAACCAGCCAAGUCGCGUGAGGGAUGACGGUCCUAUGGAUUGUAAACCUCUUUUGUCGGGGAACAAAGGCGUCCACGUGUGGACUGAUGCGUGUACCCGAAGACAAAGCAUCGGCUAACUCCGUGCCAGCAGGCGCGGUAAUCCAGAGGAUGCUAGCGUUAUCCGGCUUUAUUGGGUUUAAAGGGUGCGUAGGCGGACAGGCAAUUCAGCGGUAAAAAUGCGGUGCUCAACGCCGUACAGCCGUUGAAACUGGCAGUCUGGAGUGGGCGAGAAGUAUGCGGAAUGCGUGGUGUAGCGGUGAAAUGCAUAGAUAUCACGCAGAACUCCGAUUGCGAAGGCAGCAUACCGGCGCCCGACUGACGCUGAGGCACGAAAGCGUGGGUAUCGAACAGGAUUAGAUACCCGUGUAGUC
rnacentral:rRNA from 1 species